AGUGAACGCUGGCGGUAGGCCUAACACAUGCAAGUCGAACGGCAGCACAGUAAGAGCUUGCUCUUACGGGUGGCGAGUGGCGGACGGUUGAGGAAUACAUCGGAAUCUACUUUUUCGUGGGGGAUAACGUAGGGAAACUUACGCUAAUACCGCAUACGACCUACGGGUGAAAGCAGGGGAUCUUCGGACCUUGCGCGAUUGAAUGAGCCGAUGUCGGAUUAGCUAGUUGGCGGGGUAAAGGCCCACCAAGGCGACGAUCCGUAGCUGGUCUGAGAGGAUGAUCAGCCACACUGGAACUGAGACACGGUCCAGACUCCUACGGGAGGCAGCAGUGGGGAAUAUUGGACAAUGGGCGCAAGCCUGAUCCAGCCAUACCGCGUGGGUGAAGAAGGCCUUCGGGUUGUAAAGCCCUUCUGUUGGGAAAGAAAAGCAGCAGGUUAAUACCCCGCUGUUCUGACGGUACCCAAAGAAUAAGCACCGGCUAACUUCGUG
rnacentral:rRNA from 1 species